rnacentral:rRNA from 1 species
AGUGAACGCUGGCGGCGUGCUUAACACAUGCAAGUCGAACGAGAAACGGAUUUAGCUUGCUAAAUUGCAGUCUAAGUGGCGCACGGGUGAGUAAUGGAUAGGUAACAUGCCUUCUACUAGGGGAUAACAGUUGGAAACGACUGCUAAUACCCUAUAUUCCUUAUUAGCACAAGUGUGUAAGGGAAAGAUUCAUUGGUAGAAGAUUGGCCUAUAUUGGAUCAGCUAGUUGGUAGUGUAAUGGACUACCAAGGCUAUGACGCAUAACUGGUUUGAGAGGAUGAUCAGUCACACUGGAACUGAGACACGGUCCAGACUCCUACGGGAGGCAGCAGUGGGGAAUAUUGCACAAUGGGCGAAAGCCUGAUGCAGCAACGCCGCGUGGAGGAUGACACAUUUCGGUGCGUAAACUCCUUUUAUAUGGGAAGAUAAUGACGGUACCAUAUGAAUAAGCACCGGCUAACUCCGU